rnacentral:rRNA from 1 species
CCUACGGGUGGCAGCAGUAGGGAAUUUUGCGCAAUGGGCGAAAGCCUGACGCAGCAACGCCGCGUGAUCGAGACGCCCUUCGGGGUGUAAAGAUCUGUCAGUGGGGACGAAACUUGACGGUACCCACAGAGGAAGCACCGGCUAACUCCGUGCCAGCAGCCGCGGUAAUACGGGGGGUGCAAGCGUUGUCCGGAAUCAUUGGGCGUAAAGAGUGCGCAGGCGGGCCUUUAAGCCGGCGGUGAAAUCGCGGGGCUCAACCCCGCCGAGCCGUCGGAACUGGGGGCCUUGAGUGCGGCGGAGGCAUGCGGAAUGCGCGGUGUAGCGGUGAAAUGCAUAGAUAUCACGCAGAACUCCGAUUGCGAAGGCAGCAUACCGGCGCCCAACUGACGCUGAAGCACGAAAGCGUGGGUAUCGAACAGGAUUAGAUACCCCAGUAGUC